AGACAGUGAGAGCGGACACAGCACGGGAGUGUGGGACGCACAGGAAUUUAUUGUGGUUCAUAUUUGCAACACUGUAAAUAAAGUCGCUGCUUUAUCUGAAGAGUCCUGCAUUUUGGGUCCUCCUUCUCCACAUCCCCACGGUCUGUCAACACAAACUGUGACACUUUCUUACUAUUCUAGAUGACAGACCUUGCUGACCGUACAUACAAUACACAAACAUCACAUUGGGGAGACAGGUCAGGCUAGGUAGCAAGGGAAAAGAAAAAAAAACAUUGAAAUGUGUAACACAGAAGGAUAAUCUGGAAUGCACAGACAUCAUCACACCAUAACACAAUAAAACAAAAUAAAGCAACAUGGGAGAGUAUUCCAGAGUGUACAGCUGGAUCUGGGACUGCUGCAAUCUUCGAUCGCACCUCCAGCUGAUCCGCUGUCCACAUCAGAAGCAUGGGAGGAGGCGUUGGAUUCGGGGGAGGGAGGGUGAUAGUACGUAUCAGUAUCAGUGUACAUGUUUCGUGCAUGUGUCUGUGUGUAUCCCGUUUUCAGCUCACAGAAAGUGCUGCCAUGCCUGGUUGAGCGAAGGUCAACAGUCUCCAGUGGACCCAGGUGGCCUUGAAGGAGGGACAAAGAGUUCUGUCAACAAUCCUGUUAUCAUGGAGAAUUUUUGUUGUUCCAGUCAGCUUCCACCUUGGCAGGCCUUCAGCUGGUGGCAUUGGGAUAGCCGCAUGAGUGAAGAUGGUGAAUGUUUGGGUUGAGUGCAAACAACUGCAUCCAAUUUUUACAGUUGGUCUAAUUUCCAUCACUGGUCACCAAUUCUCUCAGUUCUCUUAAUUCCUGUUCUUCUUCUCAAAGAUGUUAUCUAUCGCUCAUGGCUCUGCAAUAUAUCUAUAUUGCAGAGCCAUGAGCUUCUCCAAGACCUUAUCCAUAUUUUGUUCAAUAACACAGUCUUACUCACAGCCCUGCCCAUCGUCUAUCAUGUCGGCCAGCCUCAUGGGAUUUUGAACAGCUGUAGCUGCUUCUUGUACUUCGAUAAGCCAGGUCCGAGACAGCUCCAAUCAGCCAGAACACUCUUAUCGUGGUUCCAGAUUGGUAGAUGUCAUUCAAUGUCCUCCAUCGAGAGUGUCGCCAGACACGCAACGCAACCGACCAUCGAGUAUCCAGUAGCAAAUAUUGUCUGCGGGACAAUGGGGCUCUCCCAAGCCCAGGAAGGUGUCAAUUUCGUUACGGGACCAGUUGAUCAAAUCCAUAAUUCUUUAGGUUUUAGAGAACAUGACUGAGAGACUCUUUGAAGGUUAGAGUUAGAUGAGACUAGACAAAGACAUAGAAGCAGCAGCAGGGAAGAUAAGGAAGGGAGAGGGUGAAAGAUGCAUCCACCUCCUCCGAGAGCCAAAGAAAUCUUUUACUGUCCCUCCUUCCCCUCUGUUUUAUUUCUCCCUUUCUGUAUUGUUGUCUGUCGAACUUGUAAUAACUUAAAAUACAAUUUUGAUUUGAAAAUGAAAUUUAAAAAAAGAAAAAAAAAACAAUGAUAAUAUAGAUCAAUCAAGUGGAACAUUAUGGCAUUGGCAUAUUUUCUCCACUUGAAAAAACAUAAAUCCGUUGGGCAUCUUUCCGUCAGACAAAAAUUCUGAUUGCUAAAGAACUGAACAGGACAGGCAAAAAAUAAAUAAACAUAUAAAAUAAAAAAGUAAUUUAGUUAAUUGUUAUAUUAUAGCUGUUUGUGAUGUUUGCAACUUUUUACUAUAACAAUUUAUUCAAUCCAGUUUAUUCUGUGAUUGUUUUUACUGUCUUGCAGCAACAGAGCUUAAUAAAGUAUUCUGACUCUGAAAGUUUGGGUCGACACUCUGAAAUACAGGAAGUGAAAUCAUAGCUCAAACCUUUUAUUUGUCACGUCAAACUGUUUUCAUAAGGCAAAUUUAACACACGGUUUGUUAUGUUACAGCUGUGUGCAGGCAGGAAAAGGACCCAAACACAGACUCAACUGAGGCGGGACUGAAAGUCACAAAGCAGCUCUAUUGCUGAACAGAAAAAAACCAUACAAAACCUAAACUGGGCAAAAUCUAACAAAACAUACACUGGGAGAUGUAGGAACAGACACACAACAUGAGAAAAGACAUAACGCCAACACAGAGAAACACAGGGCAUGAAUACACUGGGGAAUAACGAGGAGAAUGAGACACAGAAGGGGAGCACAGCUGGGAGAAAUCAGACAUGACAAGACCCAAGGGAAGUAAAACUCAAUACAUUCAUGUAAGACACAGACCUUCAAAGUAAAACAGGAAACGUAACCCUGACACACAGUGUUGACUAGGGGAUACAACUGACAUGGGAGACGGAGCAACUGAGAAACACAGAGACCAAAUAUAAGGGAGGCACAGAGAACACCAAACACUGGAAAUGAUCACAAACAAUGUUCCCUCUAAUUUUUAAUGUGUCUAAGCGAACACACAAACUCCCUGAGCGGACACUUGGAGCAACAUCAGACGUGUGCACUGUGGUCACGCCAGCAUCUAAUCCAUCCAAGUUACAUGGUUUAUUAAAAUAAUCAAAUUACACCAUUUACAUUUAUGUUGCACUACUUUUAAAUAACUGCUUUAGCCCACUUACAAUGAAAAUUUAAAAAAUCCUGUUCAUGACCUGUGUAGUAUGUUAACACUAUUGGAAGUAAAAAAAAUAACUUGAACUCCAAUUUUGAAAACACAACUUUCUUUUUUUAUUUAAUUUUUCUUUAUAAAGCUCUGACUUGUAUUAUGAGUCUGUGGUCUGGGAGAGAGUCUGUAACUCUCUGUCUGCAAAACACAGUAAAUAAUGACCAAUGUUGGGCAAUUAAUUAUAUAGUUACUUCUUCAAAAAAGGAAAAAAAAUUUACUGAGUUUUGCAAACAACAACGUUUUUUGCAGCUGUUUACCUAAAAAUGCAGCCAAGGCAUUUUUUAAAUAAACAUUUCAAACUAUUUACAGAACAAUCAGCUGUUCUGCAUCAAAUCUGAUGUCACACAAAUAAUUUGUGCCACUCCAAAAAAUAAUUUCUGUCCACUAUGAGAUAAAGCAGAACAACAGCCUGAUACCUGCAGGCCUGACAACAGGAGAUGUAUCACUGCUGUAACACCUGUAACAUUCAGCAGUUGCCUCAUUGUUCCGACACACACAACAAAACUAUUGACUACACUACACACUAACUACAGAAGAUCUGCGCUAAAUGUCGCAAAUCUCUCACAUCUCAAAACCGUCACUCCUAAAACUUCCCUUUUCCUAAACAACUAAAUGCCAUGUUGCCAUAUCAUUUUUUGAUUGGUCGACAUGGUACAUUUUUCGACCAAUAGGAAAGGGUGAGGUUUCCGCUCACAGGCGGAGAGUGCUUUUCUGCUUGGUCGUCACCUAAGGAUUUACAUCCCUGAUAAGCAGGAGUCUCACUAUCAGUUUAACGUCUCCUUUGAACUUACAAUGGCAUCACUGUGUCAGUGUGUGUGUGUAGAGCAUAUAGCCCGUCUGGACUAUAAGUGGCGCCACUUAUAGCCCUCCAGAUGCUUUUCUUUCCAAGCUACUUAGAAUAGCUAGUUUAUCACAAACUAGCAUUAACAUAGCACAGCUGAUCGACACCAAUUUUGUUUUUCAUGAAUGUUGGGGGGCUCGGUGACCUUUAUAUUUUUAUUAGUAUCUUUAAAAGAGAAGCAGCACCAAUGAAAAUUUUAGCGCCACAAUUAUUUGACAUUAAUUGAGUUUGAUUUCAAGAAGGGGGGGGGGGCACAGACAAUAUUCCAAGCAGAAUAUAGUAUAUCGUUAUCCAGAGACAUUAACUGUGAAGCGUGUUGCAAGAUGCUGAUAUGGAUAGUUUAAGAAAUGCACACAAAUCUUUAUACACUAAAAAGGAGGGAAACGUUUGAGGGAACAAUUUACAAGUUUUUACACAAACGAUUCAGUGCUUCUUUCUGGGCUGCUUGUGUCCCACCAACUAAAAUGACUUGUAUAGCACUGGUUUAACUGCAGAAAAGAUUCAUUAUUAUUUUACAAAGUCCCCAAGUAAAAUUGAAAGUAUUUUCUCAAAUGUCACAUCAAAAAGCUUUCCCAGCACCGCAGUGGCGAUCAGUGUUGGGCAAGUUACUUUGAAAUAGUAAUUCAAUUAUAGUUACUAGUUACUUCUUCAAAAAAGUAACUGAGUUAGUAACUCAGUUACAAUAUUCUAAAAGUAAUUAAUUACUUGGAAAAGUAACUAUUAUGCUACUUUUAAAAAAAAAACAAAGAACGUUUAACCCUCUGGCGUCCAGAGUAUAAUUGGCCAUUUUUUUACUACUCUUGAUUUUCCCUCCACAUUUUACCUUUAAAAACUAUUUACUUUGCCUUGUUUGGUAUCAUUCUUUUUAGUGCAACCUCACGUGCCUGAAUUUACAGUUAUGUUCUCAUUUUGUCAUACUGUAUAACCAGAAUUGAUCUAAAAUCAGACAAAAAACAUAUUAAUUGUCAAUUUUAAAAUCCUAUGCACAAGUUCUGCAAACAACAAAGUUAUUUGCAUCCAUUUACCUUUUACACUUUUUUAAAAUAACCAUUUCAAACUAUUUACAGAACAAUCAGCUGUUCUGCAUUCAAUAAGAUGCCACACAAAUUAUUUGUGCCACUCCAAAAAAAUCAUUUCUGUCCACUAUAAAGGAGAACAUCACAGCCUGAUACCUGCAGGUCUGAAAGCAGCAGGUGUAUCACUGCUGUUUCUACCUGGAGACAGCAGUCGCCUCAUUGUUCUGAAACACAACACAAAACUAUCCACAACACAACACACUAACUACACAAGACAACACAUUAACUACACACUCCAAACACGCUAAACGUCACAAAUCUCUGAAAUAAUCAAAUACAUGUAAUAGAAUGAUUAAUAGUACAUUUCCCUUUUUUUAGGAAAUGACCUGUAUGUAUCUGUAUGAAAUCAAUAAAAGAAUCAAAUACUGCAUUAUCUUUAGUCUUAUAAUAUUUAUUUAUGGAAAAACAGUGGAGAAAUAUCGCUGUUGCUUUCGUAUAAAUGAAGCGGACAUACCUGAGUGGCAUGAUCUAAUCCUGUUUACAUAAAGUAAGCCUGCUCCCGAGCAGGUUUACGCUUACGGAUCUGUUGCUAUGACAGCAAGUCCCGAAUGAGCUUCGGAGAACCGAACGAUCCAAGAUCACGCGAAAUCGUCAACAAUCAAAUCCAGCUAACUUACUUAGCGAGGUACGAAGAACGGACCCCAGGAUAGAAAUAUGGACCAAUUUAUUAAACCCCCCAAAAUAUGACUAUCCAGAGUUGGGACCAGGAAGCAGAGUUGCAGUCUUACACGCCUCUCUGCAGCUUCUCUCCUCCUGCUACCCCCCAAAAAACCUAUCUCCAUAGAGACUGUGUCAGCUCCCAAACAGACAAAAAACAAACUAAAACCCAGCAAUAAACAACUUAAACAUAAAAAAUCACAAAGAAAGAACAAUACAGUAUCCACAUCUGAACCAAAGAGUAAAACAGUGAAAUGUGGAUUAUUAAAUAUUAGGUCUCUCUCCUCCAAGUCUCUGUUAGUACAUGACUUAAUAAUUGAUCAACAAAUCGAUUUACUCUGCCUUACAGAAACCUGGUUGCAACAGGAUGAGUAUGUUAGUUUAAAUGAAUCAACACCCC
ensembl:lncRNA